GCCAUCUCCAAAGAUGUUUCAGAGAAUUUGGCAGUACAUUCAACUGGCCUCACAACAGAAUUUAUAAAAAUGCUAAUUUAAGAGGGUUUUCAAACCAGUAGUUACUGAGAUUGACCUUGUCACAACUUGCCCCUGUAACAAGACCCAUUUUGUUCCUAUAUUAGUUUGACUUUAAUUCUGAGUGUGUUAUUUUAUUGAUCCAUUCAGAUGAUAGAGACUGAGUGCUUUAAAGAACUUAACAUCUUGAAUUUGGAUGGCACUGUGCCCCCUGACCUGGACUGGAGAGGUCAACCCUCGCCCCCACCCAAACAGGGCUUACUGCAGAGACUCUUUGGCCGGCAGGACUGCUGUGGAAAUUGCAGCGACAGUGAGGAGGAGCCCACACGGCUGUGAAGGCGUGGCCUGGCUGUGGCUCCUCCCCUACACCACUGAGGAUCUCAUUUGUUUACAGUUUUUGCACAUUUGUAUUUUUAAGAUAGCUCUAUAUAAACAUUGGAAUGUAUAUUUUCA